rnacentral:rRNA from 1 species
UGCGACCCCAGGUCAGGNCGGGACCACCCGCUGAGUUUAA